rnacentral:lncRNA from 1 species
CAUCGGGCACCUCCAGCCAUUACCACAUCGUUUGACAAGGAAAUUGAAAGCAUCAUGGCUGAACGGGUGAUUCGGCGAUAGUUCAGGGAACCAUUGCAUGAAUAUCUUAUCAAAUGUAAGGGACUACCGCAAAGCGAGGCAAGCUGGGAACCAAAGGAGGCGCUUUGGCAAUUUGAAGAUCAGAUCCGGGCCUUCCACGAAGAGUCGACGAGGGCGUCGACGCAAUAGGUGGGGGAGGUUGUCACGCCCCUCCAUUUUCUAAGAGGUUAUGCCAUGCGGGCAAUGACUGGGCGACAUGCAGGCGAUGAUUUGGCGCACGUAUGGCAGCAUUUCUCUAGCUAAGUCUAGAUCCUUCCAAUGG